rnacentral:rRNA from 1 species
GGGGCCCAUCCUCCAAGGCUAAAUACUCCUGACUGACCGAUAGUGAACCAGUACCGUGAGGGAAAGGCGAAAAGAACCCCGGCGAGGGGAGUGAAAAAGAACCUGAAACCGUGUACGUACAAGCAGUGGGAGCACGCUUAGGCGUGUGACUGCGUACCUUUUGUAUAAUGGGUCAGCGACUUAUAUUCUGUAGCAAGGUUAACCGAAUAGGGGAGCCGAAGGGAAACCGAGUCUUAACUGGGCGUUAAGUUGCAGGGUAUAGACCCGAAACCCGGUGAUCUAGCCAUGGGCAGGUUGAAGGUUGGGUAACACUAACUGGAGGACCGAACCGACUAAUGUUGAAAAAUUAGCGGAUGACUUGUGGCUGGGGGUGAAAGGCCAAUCAAACCGGGAGAUAGCUGGUUCUCCCCGAAAGCUAUUUAGGUAGCGCCUCGUGAAUUCAUCUCCGGGGGUAGAGCACUGUUUCGGCA